rnacentral:rRNA from 1 species
AUUGAACGCUGGCGGAAUGCUUUACACAUGCAAGUCGAACGGCAGCACGGGAGCUUGCUCCUGGUGGCGAGUGGCGAACGGGUGAGUAAUACAUCGGAACGUACCCAGUUAUGGGGGAUAACUAACCGAAAGGUUAGCUAAUACCGCAUACGCCCUGAGGGGGAAAGCGGGGGACCGUAAGGCCUCACGUAAUUGGAGCG